AUACGGAGGGUGCAAGCGUUACUCGGAAUCACUGGGCGUAAAGGAUGCGUAGGCUGGAUGUCAAGUUGGAAGUGAAAUCCUAUAGCUUAACCAUAGAACUGCUUCCAAAACUGGCAACCUAGAGUGAGGGAGAGGCAGAUGGAAUUAGUGGUGUAGGGGUAAAAUCCGUAGAUAUCACUAGGAAUACCGAUUGCGAAGGCGAUCUGCUAGAACUCUACUGACGCUAAGGCAUGAAAGCGUGGGGAGCAAACAGGAUUAGAAACCCCAGUAGUCC
rnacentral:rRNA from 1 species